AAUAUUCUCUAGAAAAUUUGCAAGAGAUUAGCGAGUGUAGUUACAUAGUCCUCGCAAAUUCCUCGCAAAUUUGCGAGUAAACAUUUCUCUCGCAAAUUUGCGACAGAUUUGCAAGAACUUUGUAUGUCUAUCUUGUUUCCUCACAACUCCGUCGCAAAUUUGCAAAGAACAUGCAUGAUAUGUACAUUUUAUCACAUUUCUCUCACAAAUCAAAUAAAGUUAAUAUAAAAAAUAUUUAAUUAAAAUAUUAGUGUUUAACAAGUACAUCGAUAAAUAUUAUUGGAAACUUAAUCAAUUUCAAUCAACUAAAUAUUCACGGAAUAAAUAUUUUGCGACACUUAAACUAAUAUUACAAAGUACUAAACAUCAAACUCUAUAAUUUAUACAAUAAUUUCACGUUAACUAAAUUUCUAUAAAAAAAUUGAAACAAAUUUUAACGUUAAUUAUUUUUUCAAAAAAAAUUACAAAACACAUAUUGGUUCACCGAAAAUAUAACAAAAUCCCAAACAAAACCCUAAACGCAUUGACUCAUGAAUUUGCAAGGGAUUCCUCACAAUUCCUUUGCAAAUUUGUGAAAGAAUCUAAACGCUCGCAAAUUUGCAAGGGAAUUGCAAUGGAUCCCUCUCAAAUCUCUUGCAAAUUUGCGAGGGAUAUUAUUUCCAUUGCAAAUUUGCAAGGGAUUUGCGAGAGUCUCGUUGCAACUUCCUUGCAAAUCCAUUAUUCCAAAACUUGACGGUUUGGGUUUUAUCAAGGAUUUUGGUGACGGAUAACAAAGUUUACUGAAUCAUUUUUAGUGUUUAAAAUGUACGUCGAAAAAUAUUUUCAGAAAUUUAAUUAACUAUUGUUAUGAACUUAAGUCCCAAGACUUGAUUUGUUAUUACAAUUAAUUAACAUCAAACCAUUAUAACUUAUAUACAUCAACUAAAUUUUCGAAAAAUAUUGAACAUAUUUUCAUGUUUAUUAUUUGUUUAGAACCAAAUUAAUAAAUACAUAUAGUCUACCAGAAACAAAACUCCAAACGAAGCCCUAAAAUACACUAUUUAUAAAUUUGCAAUGGAUUUGCAAGAGAAUCCUCGCAAUUCCCUUGCAAAUUUGCGAGGGGUUUGCGACGGACAUACCUAGUAUAUAAACACAUUAACCUAAUGAUAUAGCGACAAAAGGUAAACAUAAAAGAAAAAAUCCUAUUGGCCAAUACACCUUUCACAUAGAUCACCAUUCCAGCCGUUAGAUUGAAUUUUUCUUUUCUAUUUUCUUAUUUUUUCCUUCUCUCUUCAGAUCUACGAAUGAUCUCUUAAUUAUGUUCUUCAUCUUCUACAGCUCUCUCUCUCUCUUUAAUCUUCUGUUCUUUUCUCUUCAUGUUUUAAGAUAUCAUCUCCUUCCUCUAUGUUCUCCUCUGUUCUUCAUCAUCUUCCGCUCACCACUUUCUUCAUGGUUACCACUUCUGUCGCUGUCGUGAAGGAAGAACCGCUGCUGUCUCCGUCAUUUAAGAAAAAACGCCUCUGUGCUUGAGGAAGCAUCGGCUCGUAGCAGUGGAGGCAACCGACCUUCUUCUUAAGAUUUAGUCCAUCUUCCUCGCCGUCACGUUUUGCUCUCUGUCCAAGACUCACCGGAGAUGAAGAUUCGUACCACUCUAGCUUCUCACCUCUCUAACUCGACGGUGGUGGGAUUUGAGAGAAGCGGAUUUGGAAGGUAUAUGCGACGGCUGGAAGUAGAAGCAUCGAUGGUGGCUAAAGCGUCGAAGGUGAAGCAUCGAUGGUGGCUGAAGCGUUGAGAGUACGGUGGAGAAAGAUGACUGGAGGAGGACGACGGCGGCGGCUUAGAUUUAGGCUUUUCUUGUAUUUUGUUUGUAUUUAUGUUUAUAUAUUUACAUAUUUGUUUUAAACAAAAAAAACAUAUUUGUUUUUAUUAAUUAUAUCAAAUUGUUUUUUUGUUUAACCGUUGGAAAUGACACAUUUUCCUGUAGUGUACCAGAUUCAAUAUAUAUAUUUAUUUGUAUUUUCUA